AGUGGUUGGUUAAACCUGUUAGAGAGGAGAGAACGGAUCCUUGUUUCCUACUGAGUAAGGUGUGAUUGGCCAAAAUACACACCGCUGACCUGAGUAUUUACCUGCUGUGGGAGCAACGUCGGGCCAAUACAGACAACUGGAAAAGCCCAUGUGUACCGGCAGGCGGCUGGGCUGCCAGGCUUAUACCUGGACAUAGAAAAUGGUCGGAGGCAGCCUAGAGCCUGUGCUGAAGAAGCUCUUGCCCAGGAGCCAGAUCUGUUUCAGAGGAAAGAACAGCAGCUGCAGAUUUUUCUGGAGGAAAGAGGGAUGUCCUUUGCCCCUAGCAUAAAUCCACACCUUUUUAUGCUGGGAAUCCAGAGCAGAAGUCCAGAAGUCCUUGGGCAAUUCUCAAGCCCAUCAGUAGGGACUGCUCAGCCUGAGGAAGAGGAAUACAGGCCCACAACCACCCCCUCGCCAAUGGGAGUCCUUUACCACUCCACCUCUCAUUCCACAUCCCUUUGACCCCAGUGUGGUUACAGGACAAAAGACCUUUCUUCAACAUCUGGGAGCAAUUAAAGAAAAAUCCUUACCUUUCCCCAUGUCAAUAAAUGCAGUGGGGAAAAGGGACAGUAAGAAAUGGAGCAAGCAAAGUAGACCACAGGAAGGGUUUGCGUGUGAUUUGUGAGCCUGGAGAAGGAGCAUGGAAUACCAGAGUGCCAAAUUAAGGCAUGCCCAGCAAAUGAAAGGACAAGGUGAAAUCCAGGAGCCUUCAGAAUUAAUUACUGGAACAACAGAGCCGACGUGAAGUGAUGUGAGCUCACGGUAGCCUAUCCAGCCAGCUUCAGGUGCAAAGGCACUGUCACAGCAGAAAUUUUCAAUUAUUGUUCUCCUGAGAAAAGAGAUGAGUUUUAUUGAACCUCAGAAAACUCUGCACCUAUGCAUGGCAAUGCCGUACAGCAGGACCCUUCGCAGCCUCUCACAGCACCUAAUGCCACGGCACACGGGAUGCUGCGGGCAAUGCCCCUUUACUUCAGACAGGCACGGCUGCUCCCACAGCACUGUCGGAACAGGACACACCAGUGCAGUUACUGGUAACAGUCACAGCUCUGCGGCCCCUGGAGCGCACAUGAAACGGAAAAUCAUCUGGUGGUCCAGCCCGGUCUGACAGCAAGAUGCCCUCAUUCAGGGUGGCAGACAGCAAAAGCAGUAUGUACUUUCCAGAGAAAGCGCUGACUUGAUCCCUAGGUAUUUCUGCCUAGAGAUUAAAUAGAGCAAAGAGUUUUAACUCCUUAGCAUUUCUAAAGGGCUGACUGCUGCAGUGUGAAUGUGCUACGUGAGAAUUGCCCUGUGAUGAUCUGAUCUCUUCUAUCCUGCUUUUCCAGCCUUUCUUUGCUUUCUGCACAUCGCAAUGCGCACACUAAUUGAAGCUUCACGGAGAUAUUUUUUUGGCCGUGCAAGGAUAUGUGGAGGCUUUGUGAAAAUGAUCUUCUCCAAAGAGGAUAUAGGAUUAAUUUUAGCAUGGGUCAGGUGUCAUACACUUGCAUGGAUUCAAAAACAAAAGCAGGCAGAAAUAAAUGUAAGUGCAGUAACCAGCUGGUGUACAGGGCUGCGUUAACCUGCAAUUCUGGGAUCUUUGCUAUCACUGUAAUCAUAACAAAUAUAUCACUAGCUUGUAGCACCUCUGUCCAAAGAUGAUAAAGUACUUCACCAA